CAGCAGCCGCGGUAAUACGUAGGGUGCGAGCGUUAAUCGGAAUUACUGGGCGUAAAGCGGGCGCAGACGGUUACUUAAGCAGGAUGUGAAAUCCCCGGGCUCAACCUGGGAACUGCGUUCUGAACUGGGUGACUAGAGUGUGUCAGAGAGAGGUAGAGUUCCACGUGUAGCAGUGAAAUGCGUAGAGAUGUGGAGGAAUACCGAUGGCGAAGGCAGCCUCCUGGGAUAACACUGACGUCCAUGCCCGAAAGCGUGGGUAGCAAACAGGAUUAGAUACCCCCGUAGUCCCUGUCUCUUAUAC
rnacentral:rRNA from 1 species